UAUGGCUGAGGCACUGCGCUCCAAACAAACCAUGGAAACAAACACUCGUGAUGUUUGAAAAUCGCUGUAUAUAUAACUCCAAUUAAGUUGAAACAUUGCACCAAAGAUAUUCUAGAAGCUCUGAUUACACGAAGCAUUUUAACGAAAAUGGUUGCAGGAAUCACAAUGCAGGUGUCUGUGGCGCCACCGUGUGGUUUGAUGAGGGCCCACGGAUAUUACCAACCUGGGAUUGGUGGUUUUCUUGAGUGUGGGAUACAUUUGCUGUACUGGAGAAGCACUUCUGUAAAAAGCCAAGCCAUACUCUCAGACCGUAAGAGGAGCGAGACCCCCCUACUGGAGCCCCGAGGCAUUACCAACAGAUCGACGAAUUGCCAACAGAUCGACGAAUUAUUAAACCACACAGAUAUAUUUCAAAUUAAUUAUGUUUACCUCAAAAUAGAUUACACAUAUAUGAAUAUAUUGUUGUAUAGAACUUGUCACACUUGCUGCCAUGUUUGUGUAUCACUUUGGGGGGGAGGGCUGAGCCCAUUCCGAACUACGGGAGCUGAGAGGGAAGCGUUGGCGGAUGUUGAAGAAAAAACCGAUUUUCAUUUAAACACGUCGACGUGAGCUACACACUCGAGUUAAUCAAUAAAAUCGGUUUAUCGCCCACCCCUACUGGGUAGGAUGGUAGACUGAUCUAUCAGUCGUACAUCUGUAUUUAUCAAACAUGCGUAAGGCAAUGGUACGCACAUCAGUAGGUAAUUAAUCUUGAUAAAUCCCACCUGUUCUUAAAUACCAUACGCGUUCACGCUCAGUCCAUUUGCAAUCAGAAAACGCCUCCAAUUAACCAUUUAUGGUCACAGCCUUCCCUUUCCUUACCAAGGAAAGGGAAGGCUGGGGGCCCCCUGCUGGGGGAUGAGGUCACAAGGCAUCCCUUUAUCAACCUUGUGAAUGUGUUUUUCCCCUUACUGCUAUAAUGGCAAAGAGAGCGAAGAAAAUAAACUUCUCCAACACUAAAAUGGAAACGCUCAUAAAACUAGGUUGAUUAAACUAAAAGUUACCUUUUGGUUAACUUAGUGCAGGAGGCAUCGCAAAUAAAAGAAAGCUUGCUGCAUGGGAAAAAGUGACUGACGCAGUUAAUUCAGUUGGGUCGGGAGUCACAGCUCACAGACGUGAGACGUCAGCAACUCGCUAAGCAGAUCAGCGCGAUCUUUGAAAACACAGUCCCUGCGGAGAGCAUAUGGUUUGCCAAGUCUUCCAAUAACGCACGAUAAGCCAUUGCACUACAUUUCUCACAGCUUUCUUUUAUAGGGUUUGACACCAAUUUGUCAGUUUAAAAUUAGACAAAGGAGUAAUUUUAUUUUUUCAAAUUAAAGGAUACACGCGACAUAUGUGGAUGUUGAUUGCUUGAUGCAUAAUGGUGACACUCUUAAAUGCUUUGCUUUUUGCUUGUACUAUCGCUAUUCUCCCACUAGACUUCGCUCGUACCAUGGCCAGAGAUGUGCUUCUACGCAAAUUCCUAAGUAUAAGUGCAUUUCGGUAAAUUCCAUACUUGGAAUCUUCGUGCGCACUACUUACGCACAAAUCUGUGCGGAAGUACGGUUGAUAAAUGAGACCCCAGAUUUUUUAGUAUAGUAGUAGUUUUAACAAUGAAAAAUUGACAAUAUAAACUGGCACGAACAGGAGGCUAUCUUGCGACAAACAAACAAUAGCAAUUUCCUCUGAAACCCUCUUUUGGCUGACAAUGGAUUACCCGUUUAUGGUGGUUUUAUGCAUUCAUACGCAACUUUGAUGUCAAAAACAAAAAAGGAAAGACAUCAUCUUUGGUUGAAAGUUAAUCCAAUUCCUUGAUGAUUUUUUUGCUCUAGUUCGAGUAGUCACUGAGAGUGAUAUGGUUUUGACUGUUGGAAUCAGUCGAUUCUCAGCUUUCAUGAUAUGAUAUAUGGUUUGUCUUGAAACAAACGGUAAAAACUUUAUUAUUUAUGCUAAUGAUGUGCUAAGCACAAUUAUGAAAUACAUGACUCUUGUUGUUGCAUGAUGUUUCUCAUUUUGUUUGACGUCUUUGAAAUUCGGUUGGGAGGGACUUAACCCGGUACCGGGGUAUUUCGGGAUGAAGGGGAUAAACCACAACGAAAUAUAUCUGGACAUUGGUUUGUUCACCAAUUGUACACUAGAUGGCGUUGCAGACAGUAGAAUGCGAUGAUAAUUGUUUGCCGUUUUGCUCGCUCAUAAAAUGUCUGCAGCACUUUCACCUUUUGAAACUUUCCCUCAUCUAGAAGGGAAAGGGCUGUUCUGCUUUCUUUUGUUAUUUUUAGUUCAGUUAGUUCAAGAAGGCUUCUGCCUGUUCUUUGACCAGAAGACCGGUAGGGCUCUUGAAGUGUUUAUACAACGAUGCAGCCCUAUUAAUCACUAUAAUUGGGUUGAUUUGACAAACUAAUUAUAGCGUUGUGAAUUUAUUUCUACAUGAUUUUCAUUCCUUGGAACAAGGAUUAUUCUAUGAUAAUCUCCAGUCUGGCUGUUUUACUCAGGGGCUCGUCAUGUUAUUUUUAGUGUGUGUUUGUGUCUGUGUGCGUGUGUGUUAUAUUGAUACGUAUGUGCCUUCGGAAUGUUGGGAAAGACCCCCUAUCUUAACUGGAGGGUUCAUUUAACUCCAUCCAAAUCUUUAACUGGAGUCUGGCUGAGAAUGAGUAAAUAUACCGGAUAAUAUUUAGGAGGAGGAAGAUUCUCACACUCCCCCUCCCUUGUCUUGAGCCCUUAUGCUCAUAGUAACUCCCAAAACAGAUCAAUCACUGUUUUGACAACACCCUCCCUCCCCUCACACCCAGCAGCCCACGGCUGGAGCCGCGCUAAACUGGGGGACUUGCGGCCAAAAAGUUGGUUUGACCUCGUUUAUAUAAUCACUACGCCGCUUGCUGCUUCCUCCCAUUACAGUAUGCGUACGUUCAUAUCACAUAUUGCGGUAUUCAUCGUUUUCAACAGUUUGACCGUUUUCAUGGCAACGGCCAAGCAUGAACCAUAGGACGCUCGACUUCCCAUGCGACUCGAGACAGGAAAUGCUUGAACUGUACACACCAAAAUGCAACGUCGAGGGAGUGAUGAGUUAUAGAGCAGGAAGUUUGUGCUAUUGGAUCGCCGCGGUUUGGCUCCACGACGGCCCAAGCUGACUGAAGAUAUCAUCUAUGACUAACCUUGAUGGGGGCUAUAUAGGCAAUCUGAUACCUUGUCUGUUGUUGCGUGGAAAUAAAGUAAUAUAACACGCUUUAAUUGAUAUAGCGCUAAGAUAUCGUAAGGUGUGUUACAUAGCAGGAAAUAGAAAGUGUUAGAUUAGAUGAGGUAAACUUUAAUGUCUGUUUGCACAGAAUUUUGUCUUGCAUUACACAUCUCUUCAAGCCUCAUAGAAAGACAUUAAAGAAAGUCCAUAAGAGUCAGGGGUCUCUCAUAUGAUGUGUGGGUUGUGUCAGGUUUGUCGGUUUUCUGUAUAUAUAUAACCCACCUCCGUCCAUCCAUCAUUUUCCCCUAGGGGGAAUGUUUAGGUUUAUCUAAAACUUGUAAUCAAAUGCAAGCAUCCAGAAUCAAAGCUUCUAACAUGUGUAUGCAGCAGUGUUUACGCUACGUGGCAGAGCGAAUCCAGAAUCCGUACCCGAAAUGUAGCACCAAUGGCGGCGAGAGGCUCUGUUUGUCUUAUGCGGUUGCCCGUUUUAGCUAGCUAGCGAACCCAGCGCAGCGCUAGCUCGGUUUAGCCUUCCCCCACACACACACACAUGGAGCUCGUCUGCCAGUGAAGGGAUGGCACGGACAUCAGUCACCCCUAAUGAAUCCAGUCUGGGAGCACUGGGGCCUCCGAGGUGGAAAACUUCCCAGAAUAGUUUGAGAACCCAAACUCAUUGUUUACCUCAAUUCACCCCUGGUUCU